rnacentral:lncRNA from 1 species
GCACGGGGGGAGGGUCCUGGUUAAUUUGGGGUUAAUUAAGCCGUUGCGGUGGGGGGGAUUCGAACCCGUGACCGGAGGGGGGGGGGGGGGCGCCGCCAUGUUGAGAAGGGCAGGGAGUGCAGAGCACGUCCGCCAUGUUGUGAGAGUUCUGCCACCAUCUUGGGGAGGGGGCGGCUUCUCCGCCGCCAUGUUGUGAGGGCUGUGCUCAGGGGGCGUGGUCAGAGGCGGAACGGGCGUGGCCCCGGGGGCGUGGCCGCCGCCGCCAUGAAGCCGCCCGAGGCCGCGUCGCCGCCUCCGCCGCCUGGGGGGAUCCUGCGGCGGGGGGGCCGCGGGGGGGGCACCCGGCAGGUGCGCUUCGAACUGAGCCCCGCGGUGCAUGCUGGGGAGGAGGAGGAAGGGGGGGCCGCGCCCCCCCCGCCGCUGGGGACCCCCACCCUGCACAGCAGCCUGGGGGGGGCGACGGGGGGGGCGUCCCGGGAGCCCUUCGACGCCCCCCGGGCGGCCGCUGCCCUCCUGGGCUGCUCCUUCGCCGCCCGGUGCGCCGUGGGGGGGGCAGCGGCCGGAGCCAUGAACGUGCCCCCGGCCCAGCGGCUCUACCGGGGCCUGGUCAGUCUGGCCGUGCCCCCCCCGCCGGAGCCGCGCAGGGGGGUCCUGCCCCCCCCCGCGCCUCCCCCCAAGGUUCCCGGCCCCGAGGUGGGGGCGCUGGUGGGCGGGGCCGGGCGGGGGCGCGGGGAUCCCUGGCUGCCCCCCCCCGCCCCCCCCGAGAACCCCCGGCCCCUCCCCCGCCCCCCCAGCACCACCUUCCUCAUGUACCGCAAGCUGCAGCAGUGGGGGGGGGCCUGAGGGGGCAACUCAUCCCUCCCCCCAAUAAAUCCUCAUUUUCAACCUCUGUGGGGAACUGAGUUGGGGGUGUGGGUGGGUCUCACGUGGGAGCGUGUCCCCUUGCCCCCCUUCUUUAACCCCUGGGGAUGUCUCCGAGUCCCCCCCGGGUGUGGACUACGACUCCCAGCAGGCCUCGCGUGCGGCUGCCGCCCUGCCAU